rnacentral:misc_RNA from 1 species
GAUGAAGAACGUAGCGAAAUGCGAUACGUAAUGUGAAUUGCAGAAUUCAGUGAAUCAUCGAAUCUUUGAACGCACAUUGCGCCCGCCAGUAUUCUGGCGGGCAUGCCUGUUCGAGCGUCAUUUCAACCAUCAAGCCCCAGGCUUGUGUUGGGGUCCUGCGGCUGCCGCAGGCCCUGAAAAACAGUGGCGGGCUCGCUGUCACACCGAGCGUAGUAAUACAUCUCGCUUUGGACGUGCGGCGGGUUCUUGCCGUUAAACACCCCCCUUCUCAAGGUUGACCUCGGAUCAGGUAGGAAUACCCGCUGAACUUAAGCAUAUCAAUAAGCGGAGGA